rnacentral:rRNA from 1 species
ACGGGAGGCAGCAGUCGGGAAUAUUGCGCAAUGGAGGGAACUCUGACGCAGUGACGCCGCGUAUAGGAAGAAGGUUUUCGGAUUGUAAACUAUUUUAGACAGGGAAGAAAAAGACAGUACCUGUAGAAUAAGCUCCGGCUAACUACGUGCCAGCAGCCGCGGUAAUACGUAGGGAGCAAGCGUUAUCCGGAUUUAUUGGGUGUAAAGGGUGCGUAGACGGGAUGUCAAGUUAGUUGUGAAAGCCCUCGGCUUAACUGAGGAACUGCAACUAAAACUAAUAUUCUUGAGUGCAGGAGAGGAAAGCGGAAUUCCUAGUGUAGCGGUGAAAUGCGUAGAUAUUAGGAGGAACACCAGUGGCGAAGGCGGCUUGCUGGACUGUAACUGACGUUGAGGCACGAAAGUGUGGGGAGCAAACAGGAUUAGAUACCCUGGUA